UGUAAACAAACAGGGUGACUCAGCACCAGGCCAGGCCACACUCUCACCCGUCCCUCACAUCUACUACUCAGCACCAGGCCAGGCCACACUCUCACCCGUCCCUCACAUCUACUAGACAUGGAAAGAAGACCCGUUAAGAUCCAGCAGUGAUCUGUUAAAACAAAACAACUCGCAGUUUAGCGUAUCAUCAAACCAGCAAUCCAGAACAUCAAUGAUGAACACCCUCCACGCUGGCUCGUCCAUGCUCACCCCAGACAAAGAAGACUCUUGGCACCUCACGUGUGUGCUGAGGUAAAAGCAGAACUACUAGUAUCCCCUUUGACCCAGGAGCCCCCGCUGUCACCACCGCCAUGUGAUAU
rnacentral:misc_RNA from 1 species